GACGAACGCUGGCGGCGUGCCUAAUACAUGCAAGUCGAGCGAGCUUGCCUAGAUGAUUUUAGUGCUUGCACUAAAUGAAACUAGAUACAAGCGAGCGGCGGACGGGUGAGUAACACGUGGGUAACCUGCCCAAGAGACUGGGAUAACACCUGGAAACAGAUGCUAAUACCGGAUGAGACCACACUACCGCAUGGUAGAGGGGUCAAAGGGCUUUACUGGUAUGAGAUGAGCUCAUCUCCCAUUAGCUAGUUGGUAAGAUAACAGCCUACCAAGGCGACGAUGGGUAGCCGGCCUGAGAGGGUGAACGGCCACAUUGGAACUUAGACACGGUCCAA
rnacentral:rRNA from 1 species